rnacentral:rRNA from 1 species
UACGAAGGGGGCUAGCGUUGUUCGGAAUCACUGGGCGUAAAGGGCGCGUAGGCGGCCGAUCAAGUCGGGGGUGAAAGCCUGUGGCUCAACCACAGAAUUGCCUUCGAUACUGUUUGGCUUGAGACCGGAAGAGGUUAGUGGAACUGCGAGUGUAGAGGUGAAAUUCGUAGAUAUCGAGAGGAACACCGGUGGCGAAGGCGGCCAACUGGACGAAUACUGACGCUGAGACUCGAAAGCGUGGGGAGCAAACAGG